rnacentral:ncRNA from 1 species
AAACACGCGUUGAUGAGGAAAAGUAAAAUAACUUAAGUUGUCAAGAGAGCUUCUGUCGGUGGAAAUGAAGUGAACUUAACUAUUUGAAAAUGACCUCUGAGCUUCGUACCGAACGAUUUUUUUAGUAGGCUACGACGAGAAAGGCACUCGUUAUAACAGCAACAGUAUCCCUAAUUGGCGUACUGAUGAAGGCAAAUGGUGUAAGCUAUUUGCAAACGAAGGUGGUAACACGGGUAUAUAAUCUCGUCCUGAUC